rnacentral:rRNA from 2 species
UCAACCCUCAAGCACAGCUUGGUAUUGAGCCCAUGUCAGCGAUGGCAGGCUCCAAAGUCAGUGGCGGCGCCGCUGGGUCCUGAACGUAGUAAUAUCUCUCGUUACAGGCGCUCGGCGUGCUUCUGCCAAAACCCCAACUUUCU